rnacentral:rRNA from 1 species
GACAGAGGGUGCAAACGUUGUUCGGAAUUACUGGGCGUAAAGCGCGUGUAGGCGGCCAAGCAGGUCGGAUGUGAAAGCCCUUGGCUCAACCAAGGAAGUGCAUUCGAAACCGCAUGGCUUGAGUCCCGGAGAGGAAGGUGGAAUUCUCGGUGUAGAGGUGAAAUUCGUAGAUAUCGAGAGGAACAUCGGUGGCGAAGGCGGCCUUCUGGACGAGGACUGACGCUGAGACGCGAAAGCGUGGGGAGCAAACAGG